UACGAAGGGGGCUAGCGUUGUUCGGAAUCACUGGGCGUAAAGGGCGUGUAGGCGGCUUUAUAAGUCGGGGGUGAAAGCCUGUGGCUCAACCACAGAAUUGCCUUCGAUACUGUAGAGCUUGAGACCGGAAGAGGUAAGUGGAACUGCGAGUGUAGAGGUGAAAUUCGUAGAUAUUCGCAAGAACACCAGUGGCGAAGGCGGCUUACUGGUCCGGUUCUGACGCUGAGGCGCGAAAGCGUGGGGAGCAAACAGG
rnacentral:rRNA from 1 species